AUGAAUAAGGGCUAGCUGGAGCUGGAGAGUGACCUGGGCCACUUCACCAUACCGGUGGAAGAUUUUGGCGUCAAAGGGGUACAAAUAGAGGAGAUCUACGACCUUCAGAGCAAAUGCCGGGGCCCUAUGUAUGGAUUUAUCCUUCUGUUCAAAUGGAUCAAAGAGCGCCGGUCCCCGUGAAAGGUCUUUACAUUAGUGGAUGAUACGUCCAUCAUUGAUGAUGAUAUCGUGAAUAAUGUUCUUUGCCCACCAGCUGAUACCAAACUCUUGUACCACUCACGCCUUGCUGAGCGUGCUCCUGAACUGCAGCAACCUGGACAUGGGACCCUCCCUGAGGCGCAUGAAAGGCUUCACCAAAGGCUUCAGCCCUGAGAGCAAAGGAUAUGCACUUGAUAAUGCCCCAGGGUUAGCCAAGGCACAUGAUAGUCAUACCAGGCCCCAGUCCGUGCCACCUCCCUGAGAAGCAGAAUGGCCUUAGUGCAAUGAAGACCAUGGAGCCGUUCCACUUUGUCAGCCAUGUGCCUAGCACAGGCCGGCUCUUUGAGCUGGAUGGGCUGAAGUUCUACCCCAUUGACCACGGGCCUUGGGGGGAGGAUGAGGAGUGAACAGACAAGGCCUGGAAGGUCAUCAUGGCGCGUAUCAGCCUUGCCACGGCAGGGGAGCCCUACCACGACACCAUCCACUUCAACCUGAUGGCAGUGGUGCCAACCACAGGAUCAAAUAUGAGGCCAGGCUGCGGGUGCUGAAGGUGAACCACAGACAGUACUAGAGACUCUGCAGCAGCUGAUAAGACUGACACAGCCAGAGCCAAUUCAGACCCACAGGUCUCAAGAGUCACAGCUGCCUGAGGAGUCCAAGCCAGCCAGCAACAAGUCCCUGCUGGUGCUCAAGGCAAACAGGGCCCCUGCAGCCUCUGAGGGCACCCUCACAGAUGGUGCAGGGGAGGCGGCUGCUUCAUGUGCACAAUCCCCAACCCACAGUUCUCCCAGCAAACACAAGAUGGUGGUGAAGUCUCCAGGCAGCAGCCUCAGUGGGAUUGGGUUUCCCCCAACCCCACUCCCAUUGUCCAGCUGCUGCCAGCUUUUCUAGACAAUCGUAAGUAUGCCAUGUCCCCCAUGCAGGAGGAAGACCUGGCAGCAGGUGGGGGCCACAGUGGAUUUCCAGUCCGCCCACCCCAGCAGUACUCACAUGACGAGGAUGACUGUGAGGAUGAUUGGGAGGAUGACGUGCAGAGCCCCAACUCUGCCAUUAGGUAUAAGUGGAAGGGAACAGGGAAGCCAGGGGCACUGAGCCGUUCUGCUGAAGGGCAGCUGUCAGUGUUGCAGCUCAACACCAUUAGCAUCUUGGCCGAGAAUCUCAAAGAGCCCCAGCAGGACCUCUCAAUUCCUCUGUCCAUCAAGACUAGCAGCGGGGCUGGGAGUCCAGCAGUGGCAGUGCCCACACACUUGCAGCCCUCACCCACCCCCAGCAAUAAGAGUUUGGACACAGCCUCCGAGAUUGGCAGUGCUUCCAACUCACCACUGCACUCGCCCAUCCACUCGGCCAACCUGACACGGGCCUCCAGCCCUGUCACCUCCCACAUCUCCAAGGUGCUUUUUGGAGAGGAUGACAGCCUGCUGCAUGUUGACUGCAUAGGCUACAGCCGUGCUGUCUGCAGUCUGGGUCCUGUCAUCAGCACAGGCCUCUUGCACCUGGCUGGGGUGGGUGCUGAGUUUCCUGUCACUGGCAGAGGGUGGGAAGAGUUCCUCAUCCUCCAUCAGACCGAUCCACGGCAGCCAGCAGUCUAGCAGCCCAGUGGAGAAGGAAAUCGUGGAAGCCACGGACGGCAGAGAGAAGACAGGGCUGGUGAGGCCUGGAGAGCCCUGGGUGGGGAGAAGUACUCACUCACAGAGCUGCUGGCACUGCUGAAGUGUGUGGAGGCUGAGAUUGCAAACUAUGAGGCGUGCCUCAAAGAAGAGGUGGAGAAGAGGAAGAAGCUCAAGACUGAUGACCAGAGAAGGACCCACGACUACGAUGAGUCCAUCUGUACCUUCAUCUCCAUGCUGGCCCAGGAAGGCAUGCUUGCCAACCUAGUGGAGCAGAACAUCUAGGUGCAGCGGUGCCAAGGGGUCAGCAUCAGCCAGCUCCACAAGCAGCAGAAGCCUGACCCGCAGAAAAGCUCUCGUUCCUACAAAGCCAAGCACCAGGGAGGACUGCUGGCCCUGACUGCAGCCCACUCUUGCCACGUGGCCCGCACCAGGGUCCCUCCCUGUUCCACUUCCCCUUUUCCUAGUACUACUGAAUAGUUCCAGCCAGAGAGCCCAGGCCCGGGGAAUGGGAGGAACCAAGACAGAUUCUCUGCACAGUGCCCUGAGGCCUGGCACAGGGCAGAUCAGCCCCAUUGUGCUCAGGAGGCAGCAUCUGGAGUUGGGGCACAGCGGGGUACUGCAGCUUCCUCCAGAGUCAGCUGUGGAGCAGCAGGACCUGGCCCUUCUGCCUGGACAGCAGAAUAUACAUUUUACCUACCAGAGACAUCUAUUUUUCUGGGCUCCAACACAUCUUGCCACCAUAGGUUCCUUCCUGACUGUGCUUUCUCUCCUAGCGGCUGUCCUGGUGGGCCCAGGUCCUUGUAUCAUGCCAGGGUCACAACUACAGGGUCCCAGCUGGGGUCCUGGGUGGGCACCGGGCCUUGCUGUCCUAGCCCCAGCCACCAGCCUGUCCCUGUUGUAAGGAAGACAAGCCUACUCUUCAUCCCUCUUAGGAGAGUGCCAAACACAGGGGCCCAGGACUGGGCUGGGUUGGGGAUGGGGUGUCCCAGUGGGGGUUGGGCGAGCAGCCUGCUGGGAUCCCAUGGCCUGAGUGGAACAUGUGGGAACUGUUCAGCACCCUGUGAACUGUCUUCCUUAUUCUAGCCAGGCUGCUAGUGGGCUAUUCUAGCCAGUGGGCUCUCCACAGCAAGGUUCUGGGGCUCUUUGCCUUCAGUGUUGUGGCCCUAGCUAUGGGCCUAACUUGGGCUCCAGGUCUCUGUCCCUGGAGCCAGGGGCUCAGAGGAGCCUCUGCCCAGCCCCUCAAUAUUACCAUGUCUCCCUCCUCUUAGGGGUAGCAGAGACAGGGCUGCUUAUAGGACGUUUGCACCACUCAGCUCUCCCUGCUACUCCAGCUUCCUCCCUCUGCAAGGCACUCAGGAUGGGGGACAGCAGGAUCAAGACAACCAGUUGGAGCCCCUGUGUUCCAGAGGGCCUGAUGCCAAUGGGUAAUGGGUCCAGCACUGCCUCUGGAGCCCAGGCCCCAACACAGCCCCAUGGCCUCUGCCAGAUGGCUUUGAAGGUGAUCUAAGCAGGCCCCUUAUCUGUACACAGUGACUGAGUAGGGGUUGCUGGCAGGUGUGGCAGCUGCCUCUGGGCUGAGCACAGCAUGACCCCUCUAGUCCCUAUAAAUACUGGAUCAAUGAAUGAAUAAAACUCUCCUAAGAAUCUCCUGA